rnacentral:lncRNA from 1 species
GGGAAAAUUGAAUCAAAGAAUUCCGAGGAAAUUCCGACGGAAAUAUAAAAUAUUUCCGAGGAAAUUCCGACGGAUAGUUUCCGUCGGACGCCUCAUAAUAUUAGGGCGAGCCCGAUCUUCUUCCCCAUUUCUCUCUUUCUCUCCGCGCCGCACAGCCUCUCCUCUCGUGAUUUCCGGCGACUCCACCGUUCUCUCUCGCGUUUUUCCGGCGAAUCUCCC